UACGUAGGGUGCAAGCGUUAAUCGGAAUUACUGGGCGUAAAGCGUGCGCAGGCGGUGAUGUAAGACAGAUGUGAAAUCCCCGGGCUCAACCUGGGAACUGCAUUUGUGACUGCAUCGCUGGAGUGCGGCAGAGGGGGAUGGAAUUCCGCGUGUAGCAGUGAAAUGCGUAGAUAUCUGGAGGAACACCGGUGGCGAAGGCGGCAUCCUGGACCGACAUUGACGCUGAUGAGCGAAAGCCAGGGGAGCAAACGGG
rnacentral:rRNA from 1 species